rnacentral:rRNA from 1 species
AUGGGAGAAGUCGCCGCCGAGCUGCUGUACAACAUGGCGCCGCUGGCCCUGUCCGGUGCCGGUGCCGGUGCCGGCGCCGAGGUCGGCAGCUGCGCGCCCCUGCUCGCGGAGCUCAGGCAACUGUGGGGGGAGAUAGGCAAGAGCAGGGAGGAGAGGGAGCGGAUGGUGCACGAGCUGGAGGCGGAGUGCACGCGGGUGUACCGCCGCAAGGUCGACGAGGCCACCGGCGAGCGCGCGCUGCUGCACCAGUCGCUCGCCGCCAGCGAGGCCGAGAUCGCCGCCCUCACCGCCGCCCUCGGCGCCGAAAACUCCACGCAGUUCAAGGUGAACAAAUGGACCGUGUCCCUGAACGAGCGGGUGUCAUCGGCAACGGCUCUGCUGGAAGAGCUGCGGGCGAUGAGAGCAGAACGGAGCAAGCAGUUCUCUGACAUCCGGUCGGAGAUCGAGAAGAUCAGCGCUGAAAUCGCAGGGCGGAGCCACGGCCAGGACAACUCCCCCAGGGCCGGCGACGCCCAUGACCUGACCAUCAGGAGGCUCAACGACUACAGGGCACGCCUGUCCACUCUUCAGAAAGAGAAGUCGGAGCGUCUGCACAAGGUGCUCGAGCACGUGACGGAGGUGCACUCGCUGUGCGACGUGCUGGGCGAGGACUUCAUCGCCAUGCUCACCUCCGAGAAGGCCAAGCGAGCAGCCAUGCUGCGGGAAGCCGUGGUGCCGCUGGUGGAGCUGUGGGAUCUCAUGGACUCGCCCGUGGAGGAGCGGCGGGGCUUCCAGAAGGCGGCGGCCGUCCUGAGGCCCGCCAAGGAGGAGGUCCUGUCCUCCGGCGUGCUGUCCAUGGCGAGCAUCAAGAGGACGGAGGAGGAGGUGGAGAGGCUGACGAGGCUCAAGGCCGGCCGGAUGAAGGAGCUGGUGCUCAAGCGCAGGCUGGAGCUGGAGAACAUCUGCCGGAGCAUGCACGUCGAGCCCGACGCCAGCACCGUGCCCGAGAAGUCCAUCGCGCUCAUCGACUCCGGCCUCGUGAACCCUUCUGAGCUGAUGGCCAGCAUCGACGACCAGAUAGCCAAGGCCAAGGAGGAGCAUCAGUCGAGGAAGGACAUCAUGGAGAAGAUCAACAAGUGGCUGCUGGCCUGCGAGGAAGAGAAAUGGCUCGACGACCACAACGUGGAUGAGAACAGGUUCAGCACCGGCAGGACUGCACGUCUGAACCUCAAACGCGCCGAGAAAGCCAGGGUCAUCAUCAUGAAGAUUCCAGCUAUUGUUGAUAACCUGAUGAGUCGAACGCUGGCAUGGGAGAGCGAAAGAAAGAAGCCUUUUCUGUACGACGGGGCUCGCCUGGUGGCCGUGUUGGAGGAGCACAAGCAAGCCAGGCUGCGGCAGGAGGAGGAGAGGAGGCGACUCCGGGAGCAGAAGAAGCUGCGCACUCUGUUCAGCGAGAAGGAGACGAUGCCGCGCCUCAAGAGGCCCAGCGGCAGCGGCGGCGGCGGCUUCAGCAGGACGCCGGACCCGAGUAGCAUGAACCGGAAGAGGGUCGACGCCGGCAGGCUCACGUGCUCCGCGCCGUCGAUGCGCAGCAGCAGCAGCGGCUCCAGCGGCGGCGGAGGCCGUUCCUCGGCCGAGCUCGACCGGCCGCGGUCGUCGGCGGCCGGGGCCGGGCGCUGCGGCGAGCUCCUGCAGGGCGCGCGGCGCCUGUCGGCAGCGUCGGCGUCGUCGUUCAACUACGUCGCCGUGGCCAAGGCGGGCGGCAGCAUGUCCUCGUCGCUGGCGUCGCUGUCCUGA